rnacentral:rRNA from 1 species
UAGGGAAUCUUCCACAAUGGACGCAAGUCUGAUGGAGCAACGCCGCGUGAGUGAAGAAGGUCUUCGGAUCGUAAAGCUCUGUUGUUGGUGAAGAAGGAUAGAGGCAGUAACUGGUCUUUAUUUGACGGUAAUCAACCAGAAAGUCACGGCUAACUACGUGCCAGCAGCCGCGGUAAUACGUAGGUGGCAAGCGUUGUCCGGAUUUAUUGGGCGUAAAGCGAGCGCAGGCGGAAUGAUAAGUCUGAUGUGAAAGCCCACGGCUC